CCAACAUUUGACCAUUCGUCUUAUUCAAAAAUUUUAUGUAAUUAUGAUUUAUUUUAUUGUGACUUGAUUCAUCAUCAAAUGUUCUUUAAGCAUGACAUAAAUAUUUUCAUAUUUUCAAAAAAAAAUUAAAUAAAACGAAUGGUCAAACGUUGG
rnacentral:pre_miRNA from 1 species